GCCACCUUGGCUCAGGGGUAGAGCGGCUCACUCGUAAUGAGCGGGUCGUCGGUUCGAAUCCGACAGGUGGCUCCA
rnacentral:tRNA from 1 species